rnacentral:lncRNA from 1 species
AAUACAUCGUGUGCUGAAGGGAGAUGCUUCUUUUCUGGUGUCAUCCACUUCCAAAUAGCAGCCUGGAAAGCUAGUGUAGCAUUGUUUUCGAGGUAUUCUGGAUGGUUCAACAGAUCAGUCUUCAGGGCUUCCCCAGUUUUGCCAUAGUUGUAGUUCCUGUAAAUGGAAGCAGCAGAUACAAAAAUAAACGAAUGCUUGAGCUUGUGAGAAGACCGCCAGGUUAAUUAAACACUGUCAUGGUAGACAUACGCCAUCCAAAAUCUGAAGAUUACCUUUUGUACACUCAAAGAUUGAUUGUACAAAAUUUCUGCUUCAAGGUAGGUAGGUAGGUAGGUGGAACCUACUAUUCUUAGAAAAUACUACUUACCAAAGAAUUUACUUUAAAUAUACUACAAGAAAAUAUAGUCUUUUAAAUGUUUUCAUGGAAGUGAUAUUGCACGUGGAGGAUGGUUAAUGGAGAAUGAGUUUUGGAAUUUCCGAAUAUUGCUUUGAUGCCUUCUUACUGUUUGUAUUUAUCAAUUAAGUGAAUUCGAGGAGGGAAAUAUAGAAAUUGGUGUGGCAUGGGGAGCAUGGAUAGAUCAUCCAAGAUUAGAAGAUGUAUACCAGUAAAGAGGCAGCGCACCCCUGCCGUGAUACGAAACUCCGGGAGUGCAAGGAUAGGUGUACUUGUAGUAAUCAUCGCAGUAUGUCUUGCUGGGACUCAUUUCCUUGUUGUAGCACAAACCCCAUGCCAAUGGUCCUCCAGUGGCCACUCCAUAACCACCUGAAAUAAUCAUCACCGAUAAUAGCCUUCAAUUUUAUAUAUAUAUAAUGAGAGAACAAGCAUCAUCGAUCAAAACUACAUGUAUGAUUAUAUAUUAUCAUAAUAGAUCAACCCCAAUUUCAAAGGUGAACAUUUAUAGUAUUGAUUUUUCUCUUACUCACAUGAG